GCAGCCCCUUAGACGGCUAAUGGCACUUCUUGAGGACAAACAAGAACUGGUACCUGAGGACGAGUUGCCCAAAGUUGGACCAAUUACACAUGGAGAUAUUGAGAUGGCUUUAAAGAACACUAGACCAUCUGCUCAUCUCCUUGCGCAUCGCUAUUUGAAGUUUAAUGCCGACUAUGGCAGUCAAAUACUCCAGUGAAGGCACACGGUUCUAUUAUACUAUGUUGUUGGAACUUGUUAACAUAUUUAUUGUUCUGUAUUUUCAUAUAGAGUUUAGAGACCUGUAAAACUCAAAUGGUGAAGAAUCUAGCAAAAGAAAACAAAUUAAAAACACUGGUGUGAGAUCAAAAUAAGAAUUUUUACUCA